CUGCUAUCGAGAUUCGACUAAGCCAUGCGAGUCGAAUGUUCUUCGUGAACAUGGCGAACUGCUCAGUAACACGUGGACAACCUACCCUUGGGUUCGGCAUAAUCCUGGGAAACUGGGGAUAAUACCGGAUAGGUCACAGAUGCUGGAAUGCACUGUGGCUCAAAGCUCCGGCGCCCAAGGAUGGGUCUGCGGCCUAUCAGGGUUGUAGUGGGUGUAAUGUACCUACUAGCCUACGACGGGUACGGGUUGUGAGAGCAAGAGCCCGGAGAUGGAUUCUGAGACACGAAUCCAGGCCCUACGGGGUGCAGCAGGCGCGAAAACUUUACAAUGCGGGAAACCGUGAUAAGGGAAUCUCGAGUGCCAGCGUAUAAUGUUGGCUGUCCAGAUGCCUAAAAAGCAUCUGUUAGCAAGGGCCGGGCAAGACCGGUGCCAGCCGCCGCGGUAACACCGGCGGCCCGAGUGGUAACCGCCAUUAUUGGGUCUAAAGGGUCUGUAGCCGGCCAGGUAAGUCCCUUGGGAAAUCUGGCAGCUCAACUGUCAGGCUGCUAGGGGAUACUGUUUGGCUUGGGACCGGGAGAGGUGAGAGGUACCUUGGGGGUAGGGGUGAAAUCUUGUGAUCCUCGGGGGACCACCAGUGGCGAAGGCGUCUCACCAGACGGGUCCGACGGUAAGGGACGAAGCUAGGGGCACGACCGGAUUAGAUACCNGGUAGUCCUAGCGUAACGAUGCUCGCUAGUGUCAGUCAGGUGCGACCUGAUUGUGCCUAGGAAGCCUGAACGACCCCUGGAAGUUGCCCNAGCUAACUUAAGAUUGGGGGGACCUCAC
rnacentral:rRNA from 1 species